UCCGGUUCAUCACCGGCAGUCUCCUUAGAGUCCCCAACUAAAUGAUGGCAACUAAGGACAAGGGUUGCGCUCGUUACGGGACUUAACCCAACAUCUCACAACACGAGCUGACGACAGCCAUGCAGCACCUGUCUCUGCGUUCCUUGCGGCACUUCGACCUCUCGGCCAAAUUCGCAGGAUGUCAAGGGUAGGUAAGGUUCUUCGCGUUGCAUCGAAUUAAACCACAUGCUCCACCGCUUGUGCGGGCCCCCGUCAAUUCUUUUGAGUUUCAGCCUUGCGACUGUACUUCCCAGGCGGAGAACUUAUCGCGUUAGCUUCGAUACUGAGAGGUUCCCCUCCCAACAUCUAGUUCUCAUCGUUUACGGCGUGGACUAC
rnacentral:misc_RNA from 1 species